AAAAAGUCAAACUUUAGGUUUCCGUGUCCAAUUUUGACUGUCCGUCUUAUAUGAAGUUUUUUUAUAAUUCAUAUUUUUAUCGUUGUUAGAUGAUAAAACAUGAUUAAUAUUUUAUGCGUGACUUAUUUUAUUAAUUUUUUUAUAAUUUUUUCAAAUAAAACGGACAGUCAAACGUUGGACACGGAAACUAGGGUUUGUCUUUUU
rnacentral:pre_miRNA from 1 species